rnacentral:rRNA from 1 species
AUUGAACGCUGGCGGCAGGCCUAACACAUGCAAGUCGAACGAGUGGCGGACGGGUGAGUAAUGUCUGGGAAACUGCCCGCUGGAGUGGGAUAACUCCUGGAAACGGUAGCUAAUACCGCAUACCAUCAGAUGUGCCCAGAGGGGAUUAGCUAGUUGGUGGGGGAACGGCUCACGUAGGCGACGAUCCCUAGCUGGUCUGAGAGGAUGACCAGACACAAUGGAACUGAGAAACGGUCGAGAAGCCUACGGGAGUCAGCAGGGGGGAAUAGUGAAAAAGGGGGGAAAGACUGAUGCAGCCAUGCCGCGUGUAUGAAGAAGGCCUGCGGGUUGUAAAGUACUUUCAGCGAGGAGGCGUUACCCGCAGAAGAAGCACCGGCUAACUCCGUGCCAGCAGCCGCGGUAAUAC